rnacentral:lncRNA from 1 species
AGGUAUACUCUGAUUUUGGGAGGCAAAUUGACAUCUACCUACCAACCAAGGAUUUUCCAGAUUGGUUUGGUCAUCAAAUUUUGGGACCAAACCUAUCUACAAUUUGUUUUGAUGUGCCACAAAAUAGUGAAAACAAAUUCUUAGGGAUGAUACUUUGGGUGGUUUCUAGUGAAAGUAUAUAUCUCGGGUCAUAUGCUCGUGUUGAAAAUAAAACAAAUGGUAAUACAUGGCAUAAAGCAGUGCACUAUAGAGCGCGUUCGUGGGUGAGCUUCAUACCAAAAACAAAAAUUGCACUGAAAUUUGGUGACAAAAUUGAGGCUUCCAUAUCUGGUAAUUAUUUCAUAAUGGAGAGAUUUGGUGUUCAUUGUGUAUACAAAACUGACACCAUAGAAAAUUAGUAGAGAUAGGGGCUCUGUUGGCCGUCUGUCAUUUCUUUAGCUUGUUAAAUAUUUUGUUUUUAUGUGAAGGUGGAAGUUUGAAUUUUGAAGCAAAUGGUCAAGUUUGUUGCUUAUCUGUUUUCUUAAAUUCUCCAUCUAAUUUGCUUCCCAUGCACCAACAAUGGUUAGAAAGGUAAAAUUUAAAUGGGAAACUGAUAAAUUCAUAACAGAAAAUCAGGAGCGGACCUAUGCUUGGGCAACAUAGGCACCUGCCUAUGCUUAGUUAUAAUAAUAAUAAUAAUAAUAAUAAACUUAAACGGGACAGAUUAAUGGAAGAGUUAUACUUAGAAGAGUUCCUACAAGACCAAAGGUGGAUAGCAACGAAAAACAUACAGGCAAGAAGAACACCACAAGGAAAACUAUGAGAUCCUUAUCGCUGAUCAAGUUUCGAAAUAUGAUAAACUAAUGUAGAGUUUGUCUUUCCUUGCAAUUUUUAAUAAAGGGUCCAUAAGGCCAAAACUAAUUCAUGUUCACACUUCACAUUACAUUAUACCUUGUAAAUCUUGUGAUAGAACACUUCAAGCAGUCUAAGCUCCACAUUGGGAUGAGAAUAUUCCACCUGUAAAAGGAAGCAAAUACAGUUAAAAAAUAUAAGCUAUUAUAGGCAGUGAAAGACUUGCUAUUGCGGUCUUAGAUUAAGAAAAACUAGUACAAUGCAAAAGUACUUCACGUCUUCACCAUUCUACAAGCUAAUUCUCUUCUAAAAAACCAUUUCUUUACAUAUAGAUAUAUAUAUUAAGUGCAUUCAAUGGAAACAAUAAAUCAAGCUUGUACGUUUUCCCCAAUUGCAGUCUUAGAUUGAGGAAAAGUAGUUAAUUUCUCAUGGAAGUAGGAUUAACAAUGAAUUGAUAAGCUGAAUGGUUGUUAAUUCUAUUUGUUUAGAUUGUCUAUGUUUACCUUUGUCUUAAUUUCACUAAGCACAUCUCCUACAACCCCUGCAUUUUAAUAUUUGCACCCAUUACCCUUCGAUAUGAUGGUAGAAAGUAAGAACAACAUUAAAGCUAAUGGCCAACAAAUAUCUCUCCAUAAACCAAUAACAAGUAUUUCUUAUAAAGGGGCAGAAAAUUUGCGCUGGGCCUUAGAAAAUCCAGGAUCGGCUUUGUUCCCUUCCAAUCAUUUCCUUCUCCUUAACUGCGAGAAGUCCCACAACUCUAUUAGACGAAAUUUCUCAGAACUUAGCUUAGAAAUUCUUUCCUCUCAACUAUAGUUCGAGUAACUAAAUUAAGAGAUAAACAGAUUAAUCGAUGCAAGGAGAGGGACAUUUCCCUCCAAAUCUACGUAGGAGUGGAGCCUACGUGCCACCUCAUCAACCACCUAGUAAAUGUUAGUCUACUCAGCACUUUCGUCCGUUUUUUUGACGAAAAUCAUAAGUAAUGAUCAUUUGGUAAAUUUUUUAGAGUAUAGAUACGCGAUUGUAACAAAAAAAUUUCGGUAACCAUAAUAAGAAUCGAGCACAAGUACAAUGAUCAAAAAGUCUAUUAUCCCAAAAGCACACUUAACCAUGCAACCAUGAGGAACCAUGCGGGUAAAAGCUUUGAAUUAUUGCAACCAUGAGGGACCACAUAAUGACCGACUAUUUGUCGUGUGAACUGUAAAGUAUGAGAAAUUUCUGCGAAACUAGACUAGAAAAUAAGGUAGACUCACAAGUCUUUGCUCUAAAUUUAAUUCCAUUUAUUGACUCGUAUUAAGGUGUUGUCAUUCUGUUCUAUAUAUUGUAAUGAUCUCAUGUUCCUAGUAACACAAAGUUUUUGAUUUCCCCGUUUAUUCCAAUCUUGAUUCCCUUCUAAUCAAUUCCUUCUCCUUAUUUCAAUGGCUUCUACAAGUAACCAAAUUGAUUCAUCAUCUUCUUCAUCUUCAACUCCUCGUUGGAACGUCUUCUUGAGCUUCAGAGGUGAAGAUACACGCAAAACCUUUACUGGUCAUCUAUACUCGGCUCUAGUCCGGGUUGGAAUCCAAACUUUUAUGGAUGAUCCUGAACUACCAAGAGGAGAAGAAAUUUCAGCGCAACUGCUAAAAGCAAUCGAAGAAUCAAAGGUUUCUAUUGUUGUUUUCUCCAAAAAUUAUGCUUCUUCGAAAUGGUGCCUCGAUGAGCUAGUGAAGAUCCUCGAAUGCAAGCGAACAAAGGGACAAUUACUUCUUCCUGUAUUUUAUAAGGUUGAUCCAUCGGUUGUGCGUCAUAAGACUGGAAGCUUUGCGGAAGCUUUUGAAAGUCAUAAAAAGAGAUUUGGGAAUAACAUGGAAAUAGUGGAGAAAUGGGAAGGUGCGCUAACUGAAGCUGCGAAUCUAUCGGGAUAUGAUCUGGAAAAUGAUGCAAAUGGGUAAAAACUACACCACCUUUCUCCUUUUUCAUUAUUUAUUUUAGUUAGAAAUUGUUUACUAUGACCAAUGGUGUGCCUAUAUCUUUUAUUAACCCGGACACUUUUAUAAUUGUUACAAUAUUGGUUUCAAUUGCCCUUAUUAAGGGUAAUGGGUACCAAAGUUUCAUAGGAGAAAAGAUCAUUACUUUAACGAAAUAUUCAUACUAUUGGUCUUAUCGAUAUCACUUAUCCUACUUUUGGCCUAGUGGUAUGAUCCAACCCAUGUUUACCAUGCGGCUGGGGUUCAAUCAUCGAGUGUGUGUGUGGUAGUGUGUGUGUCAAAUUAGCAACAAAAAAAAAAAUAUCGCUUAUUCCGGUGUUUCUGGUGUUUUUUUGAUGGACCAAAAACACCUGAAUAAGCGCCUGCAGGACUCUUCCGGAAUAUUUGCUGUCAUGACUCUUCGAAUGCAUCUGCUUUAUCUGUUCUCCUUUAAGAGCCUAAUUUUUUUAAUUUAUUUUUUUGUAAUUUCAUAGCAUGGAAGAUAACAAAUCUAUUAGUGGGUAAAUCUUUGCAGUUUGAAAGCUAACUUAUCAAAGUCAGAGUUACAAAAAAAAUUAGUCACACAGUACUGUGAAAAGUUUAAGCAUCUAUAUUUCACAUUUUAUAAAUGAUUGAUUUAAUUCAUAUUUCUGAUUCAACCAUUUUUCUUCAACUUAUCAUGUUCUGUUUUAAUAAUAAUUGGCAGGGAUGAGGCAAAGUUGAUCCAAAAAAUUGUGCAGAAGGUCCUACUAGAAGUAAACCUCGUUUGUUUGCAUAUUGCCAAACAACCAGUAGGAAUAGAAUCUCGUGCAGAAUACAUAACACCAUUGCUGAGCAUUGGUACUAAUGAUAUUCGUAGGAUUGGUAUGGGUGGCAUCGGCAAAACAACCAUCGCCAAAGCUCUCUUUAAUAAGCACUUUCGGUACUUUGAAGGUAGCUGCUUUCUUUCAAACGUCAGAGAAGCUUCAGAAGAACGCAAUGGUAUACUUCGUUUACAAGGGCAACUUCUUUCUGACAUUUUAAAAAAGGACAUUCAUGUUGAAAAUGUUGAUAAAGGAAUCAGUUUACUGAAAGAAAGGCUUGGUUCUAAAAAAGUUCUCAUUGUUCUUGAUGAAUUGAACCACUUAAGCCAAUCAGAUCAAUUAGGUGCAGGACAACGGAACCAAUUUGCUUUAGGAAGUAGAGUUAUUAUAACAACAAGGGAUGUAGGUUUACUUGAUCAAAUUGAAGUAGAAGAGAGAUAUAAUGUAGAGGAAUUGGACGAUGAAGAGUCUUUGGAACUUUUUAUAGUCAACAUGCCUUUAAAAAACCCAUACCAUCAGAAGAUUAUGUGAAAAUAUCGAAAGGCAUUGUACGCCAAGCUGGAGGACUUCCCUUAGCUCUUGAGGUUCUAGGAUCAUAUUUGUUUAAAAGAACCAUGGUACAAUGGAGAAGUUCCCUCGAUAAAUUGCAACAAAUACCGCAAGAUGAGAUUCAGAAAAAACUCCUAAUAAGUUAUCAUGCAUUAGGUGAUGGUAACUUAAAGGAUGUUUUCCUUGAUAUUGCAUGUUUUUUUAUCGGAAAGGAUAAAGAAAUGACAAUUAGUAUAUUAGAUUCUUGUUGUUUCAACUCAGAGAAUGCAAUUAUCAUUCUAAUUGAAAGAUGUUUACUAUCCAUUAAUGAUGACAACAAGUUGAGAAUGCAUGAUAUUCUUCGGGACAUGGGAAGGGAAAUUGUCAAUAAAGAGUCCCCAAAGAAGCCAGGAAAGCGCAGUCGAUUGUGGUCUAGUGAAGAUAUCUGCUACGUGCUGGAAAAAGAAAAGGUAACUAAAUAUACUCAACUUUUUAUUAUUUCAGUAAGGUCUUAGAUGAAAUUAUGAGGUUCAUUUGCUCUUCAAUUUUAUUCUUAUUUUUUUGAUUUAUUUUAGGGAAAAGAAGCAAUUGAAGGUAUCAUCCCAUGCAAAGGGGAGCUACAAGGAGUAACAUUAAAUACCAAAACAUUUAAAAAGAUGCACAAAUUAAGAUUGCUUGACAUCAAUGAUGUACAUCUCACCGGAAACUUCAAACACAUAUUUGAAGAGUUAAGGUGGCUAUCUUGGCGGAAAUGUAAUUUACAGUGUUUACCAUCUAAUUUUCAUCCAGAAAAGCUAGUUAUCCUUGACUAAAAGUACAGCAAAAUCAAUAUAUUAUGGCAUGGUAUCUUGGUAUGACAUUACUCAUGCCUCAUUGUUUAUCUUAAAUUUUGAAAAUGCAUACAAGUUGUACAUAUUUUACUUUACUGAUUCAGGUUGUCUAAUGUCUAAUCUUUCUUAUUUCUACAGUUUCUAGAACAAUUGAAGAUCCUGAAUCUCGAUUACUGUGAAUUCCUGACGACAACUCCAAACUUUACAGGAGUACCAAACCUCGAGAAAUUACUUCUUCGUUGGUGUAUACGUUUGGCUGAGAUUCACCCAUCGAUUGGACAGUGGAGUAGGUUGGCUUACUUAAAUUUGAGCGGCUGCGACAUACUGAGACAUAUUCCAAACAACAUAUGCAAUCUGAGAGCACUAGAAACUCUAAGUAUUCGUAGGUGCCCAAACCUGAAAGAAUUGCCAGAGGAACUUGGGAAUAUUGAAAGCUUAAGGGAGCUCUGGGCAUAUUUCUCGGGAAUUUUUAAGCUACCAGAUUCAAUUGGAAGGCUUAGUAGGUUGGUUAACUUGGAUUUGGAAUGUUGUAGAAACCUUAGAACUCUUCCAAAUAGCUUAUGCAACUUGAGGGUAUUGGAAAGUCUACGUCUUACUUGUUGCGAAAAUCUAAAAGGAUUGGCCUAGGAAUUGGGAAACAUUGAAUCCUUAAGGGUGCUUGAGGCAGGCUACACAAAAAUUACAAAAUUACCAGAUUCAAUUGGAAGGCUUAGUAGGUUGGUUAACUUGGAUUUGGAAUGUUGUAGAAACCUUAGAACUCUUCCAAAUAGCUUAUGCAACUUGAGGGUAUUGGAAAGUCUACGUCUUACUUGUUGCGAAAAUCUAAAAGGAUUGGCCUAGGAAUUGGGAAACAUUGAAUCCUUAAGGGUGCUUGAGGCAGGCUACACAAAAAUUACAAAAUUACCAGAUUCAAUUGGAAGGCUUAGUAGGUUGUGGAUUUGGAAUGGUGUAGAAACCUUAGAACUCUUCAUUUAGCUUAUGCAACUUGAGGGUAUUGGAAAGUCUACGUCUUACUCGUUGCAAAAAUCUAAAAGGAUUGCCCGAGGAAUUUGCAAGUAGCAUUUGCAAGUUACUCCUGAGAAAGUUGCAUCUCGGCUCGUGCAAUCUCAAUGACAACUAUCCUUUCGAUGGAAGUACCUUGCCAUCCAACCUUAGUCAACUGUCCAAUCUAAAAUCGCUUCAUUUCCAACAGUGUCUGAAUCUCGGGUCAGUUUCAAAACUUCCUCCAAAUUUAGAAGACCUAAAUGCAUUGGGAUGUACAUCAAUGGUAAGACUACCAAAUCUGUCAAACUUGAGACACUUAAGGGUGUUGAAUCUUGCAUAUUGCAGUAGAUUGGCUGAGAUUCAAGGCUUGGAAAAUCUGAAUUCUAUUGAAGAAAUUCGCUUGGAAGGCUGCAACAAUCUAUCAAGAGACGUUCCUUCAGGUUAUCCUCAAUCUCUCUCUCAUCAUAUUUAAUUACCAGAUCCAUCCCAUUUUAGUUGACAAAAUUGACUUUUCAAAGUUACAUUGACCCAUUUUAAAAUCAAAAUAUCAUAUUUUCUUUAUAAUUUUUUGACAAAUAGACUAUAAUGUAACAAAGUAUGUAGAACUUGCUAAUAAUCUCAUGUUUCAAAAUUUUAAAUAAAUAAAUUUAAUUAAUUAUUUAUGUACUUAUUUAAUUAUGUAACAGGUAUACUCUGGUUUUGGAAAGCAAAUUGACAUCUACCCACCAACUAGGGAUAUUCCAGAUUGGUCUGGUCAUCAAAUUUUGGGACCAGAAUCGGAAUUUUCUAAAAUUUGUUUUGACGUGCCACAAAAUAGUGAAAACAAAUUCUUAAGGAUGAUACUUUGGGUGGUUUCUAGUAGUGAUCUUCUCUGGUCAGAUGCUGUUGUUGAAAAUAAAACAAAUGGUAAUACAUGGCAUAAAACAGUGCCCUGUGAAGCGCGUUCGUGGGUGAGCUUUAUACCAAAAACCCAAUUUGCACUGAAAUUUGGUGACAAAAUUGAGGCUUCCAUAUCUGGUGAUAAAUUGAAAAUGGAGAGAUUUGGUGUUCAUUGUGUAUACAAAACUGACACCAUAGAAAAUUAGAAGAGAUAGGGGCUCUGUUAGCCAUCUGCCAUUAAUUUCUUUACCUUGUUAAAUAUUUUGUUUUUAUGUGAAGGUGG